rnacentral:rRNA from 1 species
AUUGAACGCUGGCGGCAUGCCUUACACAUGCAAGUCGAACGGCAGCACGGGUGCUUGCACCUGGUGGCGAGUGGCGAACGGGUGAGUAAUACAUCGGAACGUACCUUAUCGUGGGGGAGAACGCAGCGAAAGCUGUGCUAAUACCGCAUACGCCCUGAGGGGGAAAGCGGGGGAUCGCAAGACCUCGCGCGAUUAGAGCGGCCGAUGCCUGAUUAGCUUGUUGGUGGGGUAAAAGCCCACCAAGGCGACGAUCAGUAGCUGGUCUGAGAGGACGAUCAGCCACACUGGUACUGAGACACGGCCAGACUCCUACGGGAGGCAGCAGUGGGGAAUUUCGGACAAUGGGGGCAACCCUGAUCCAGCAAUGCCGCGUGAGUGAAGAAGGCCUUCGGGUUGUAAAGCUCUUUUGUCAGGGAAGAAACACCGGCUCUAACACAGUCCGGGAAUGACGGUACCUGAAGAAUAAGCACCGGCUAACUACGUGCCAGCCGCCGCGGUAA